rnacentral:rRNA from 1 species
AAACAGGUUGAUAUUCCUGUACCACCAAUAACCGUUUGAGAAAUGGGAUGACACAGUAGGAUAAGCUAACCGCACUGUUGGUUAUGUGCGGGCAAGUAUUGAGGCAGUUCCGAUAGGCAAAUCCGUCGGAACAAUGCUGGGGUACGAUGCGGAGCGAAAUUUAGUAGCGAAGUAGCUGAUUUCACACUGUCGAGAAAAGUCUCUAUCGAGGUUAAAGGUGCCUGUACCGCAAACCGACACAGGUGGGUGAGGAGAGUAUCCUAAGGCCAGCGAGAGAACUGUUGUUAAGGAACUCGGCAAAAUGACCCCGUAACUUCGGGAGAAGGGGUGCCUUCGAAAGAAGGCCGCAGAGAAUAGGCCCAAGCGACUGUUUACCAAAAACAUAGGUUUCUGCUAAGUCGCAAGACGAUGUAUAGGAGCUGACGCCUGCCCGGUGCUGGAAGGUUAAGGGGAUCUGUUAGGGCAAUCGAAGCAGUGAACUUAAGCCCCAGUAAACGGCGGCCGUAACUAUAACGGUCCUAAGGUAGCGAAAUUCCUUGUCGGGUAAGUUCCGACCCGCACGAAAGGCGUAACGAUUUGGGCACUGUCUCAACAACAGACUCGGUGAAAUUGUAAUACCGGUGAAGAUGCCGGUUACCUGCGACAGGACGGAAAGACCCCAUGGAGCUUUACUGUAGCUUGACAUUGAGUCUCGGUGCUACAUGUACAGGAUAGGUGGGAGACUAUGAAGCAUGGACGUCAGUCUGUGUGGAGUCAUCCUUGGGAUACCACCCUUGUAGUACUGGGAUUCUAACCAGAGGCCAUGAAUCUGGUCUUGGGACACUGUCAGGUGGACAGUUUGACUGGGGCGGUCGCCUCCCAAAAAGUAACGGAGGCGCUCAAAGGUUCUCUCAGUACGGUCGGAAAUCGUACGAAGAGUGUAAAGGCAAAAGAGAGCUUGAUUGCAAGACAUACAGGUCGAGCAAGGACGAAAGUCGGACUUAGUGAUCCGGUGGUUCCGCAUGGAAGGGCCAUCGCUCAACGGAUAAAAGCUACCCUGGGGAUAACAGGCUGAUCUCCCCCAAGAGUCCACAUCGACGGGGAGGUUUGGCACCUCGAUGUCGGCUCAUCACAUCCUGGGGCUGUAGUAGGUCCCAAGGGUUGGGCUGUUCGCCCAUUAAAGUGGUACGCGAGCUGGGUUCAGAACGUCGUGAGACAGUUCGGUCCCUAUCCGUCGCAGGCGUAGGAAAUUUGAGGAGACCUGUCCUUAGUACGAGAGGACCGGGAUGGACGUACCGCUGGUGUACCAGUUGUUCUGCCAAGGGCAUGGCUGGGUAGCUAAGUACGGAAAGGAUAAGCGCUGAAAGCAUCUAGCGCGAAGCCCACUUCAAGAUAAGAUUUCCCACCGCAAGGUUAAGAUCCCAGGAAGACUACCUGGUUGAUAGGUCAGAGGUGUAAGUGCAGUAAUGUAUUUAGCUUACUGAUACUAAUAGAUCGAGGACUUGAUCAA